rnacentral:tRNA from 1 species
GCCCCGAUAGCUCAGCGGUAGAGCGUUUCAACUAUAACUUGAAAAGGUCGCCAGUUCAACCCUGGCUUGGGGCA